CCCUGCCCCCAGCUCUGCAUCAGGCAAAGCUGGGCUUGCCCCUGCUGGAGAGGCAGCCACCAUGGUGGGCCGGAAUGGGACGUCCUGUGACCCAGGCAGUAUGGGCUGAGCCCUGGGAACCAAAGGGCACAGGCAGGAUCGGCCAUGGGAUCCCAGCCUUGGUCCUCCACAGUAAGCUCCACAAAGGCAGGAAAGUCUGUCCGGUGUAGGACAGUGGCUGGCACACAAGGUUCAUGGGUAAACACUUGUCAGAUGAGUGAGGCUCAGAGACACGCGGUGCUCAAGGUCACACAGGGAGUCAGUCAGGGAGGAGGUGUAAAAGCAGAGCCAAGGCUCCAAGGCUGCAGUGGACAGCAAAUCCAAAGAAGUGUUCCACUCAAUUCUGGGCCCCUAGUCCCCUAACUGCAUUAGCUCCAGGAUGGAUGGGUGACAGCGAUGGAUGGAUGGACGGGCGGCUGGAUGGACAGAGUGGCAGGUGAGUGAAGGGAGUAGAGUAGAUGGGCGGAUGGACAGACAGACAGGUCGAGGGGCAGAUCCCACAGUGGGGAAGGGCUCAGCCUGUCAGGUGAGAUAGCCUGGGUUCAAACCCCAGCACUGCCACUCUCCAGGCAUGUGUCCUUGGGGGAGUCACAUAAACUGGCUGUGCCCCAGAGUCCUCAUCUCAUCUGUAAAAGGGCAGUAAUGAUGGUCCCCUCACAGGGUUACUGUGAGGAGCUUAGAACGGAGAAGGAGCUAUGUGUGUGUGUGUGUGUGUGUGUGUGUGUGUGUGUGUGUGUGUGUGUGUGUGCUGGUCUCCUGGCAGUGUUGAUAACGGCUGGGCAGAGACAGAUGAAAAGGGAGUCUGGCUGGUGAGCCAGUGGUAGGCAGACAGGCCCAUGAGCAGACUCACAUGCAGAUUGGUGGCCAAUGGGGUGGGCAGGCAGUGGGCUAUGCAACUGUGGAAGGGCCCGGGAGAUCACAUCCUCCCCAGUGGUGCUUGGGAGAUCUCAGCUCAGCUGUCAGACCUCCAGGCAGCCUUCCUGCCCAGUCCUGCAAGCCAGUGAUGACAAGUGCUCACUGGGUUUCCUGAAUUCCUUCCCUGCCAUCCCAACCCAGGUACACCCUUCCUGGUGGUGGACCAUGUGGUCUCUGGAGGCUCAGAUCUAGCUCCAAGUAGGGGUUAAUUGCCUGAGUGAAGGGAUCAUUUGUGGGGCCCUCUGAGUUCCAAGUUGCUUCAGCCAGUUAGGGCAGCUCCCCUCUUCCAGAGUCCCAGCCCCCGGCCCACCUGGCAUGGAACAGUCCUAAGCAGGGCUGUAACACUGUGUUCCUUAGUUAUUCAAAGCCUCCAGGAGGAUCCAACCCCCAGAGCCUCUCUGUUCACCCAUGGGGCUCUGCAGUUUCUGGGGUGUGGAGUUUCCUGGGUCUUUCUGGAGUACAGAACAAAAAAGCCUGAAGUAUCUUCCAGAGUAAAGGGCUGCAUACAUAUGCACACAUCUAUGCCAGCAGAUAGCCACCCAUCUUCCCAUAAACAUAGCCAUCCAUCCACCCACCCAGCCACCCACACACACAGCCAUCCACCACCUAGCCACCCAUACACCCAGCCACCCAGUCAUCCAGCUAUCGAGCCACCCAGCCACCCACACAGCCAGCCACCCACACACACAGCCAUCCACCACCUAGCCACCCAUACACCCAGCCACCCAGCCAUCCAGCUAUCCAGCCAACCAGCCACCCACACACCUAGCCACCCAGCCACCCACACACAUAGCCAUCCACCACCUAGCCACCCAUACACCCAGCCAUCCAGUCACCCACACACCCAGCCACCCAGCCACUCAACGAUCCAGUCACCCAGCCACCCACACACCCAGCCACCCACCACCCACACACUCACACACCCAGCCACCCAGCCAUCCAGCCACCCACCCACCCAGCCACCUACCACCCAGCCACCCACACACCCAGCCACCCAUACACCCUAUGUUUCCUGAGUACUUGUCCAUACAUAUGCCAUAUGCCAGGCACUCCCCUUGAUCCAGGGAUCCAUAUGUCAGUGAAGGCACUGGACAGAGCCUUGCCCUUAUGAUGCUGACAUGCAGUCAGGGAAGAUACAAGAAACUAAUAAUGCAUGAACAUUUAACAUGAUAGCAGGCCGUCAUCAAUCCGUGAGGGAAAACAAAGCAAGAUGGGGGCUUACAGGAAGCUGGGGCUCUUAGGGAGGUCAGCUUGGAUGCCCCAAACCUCCACAUGCAUCCUCAGGCACCCAUGCCCCCAUGCAUGUGAGCACAUGUGUACACAUGGUCACACAUGUGCACACAGGCCCUCCAUGAGGCCCCAUAGCACUGUUGUGUCUCCAAAGGCGUGGCCCCUGCCAGCCCUCUCUGGGAGGUCUGGCUGCCUCACGCCUCUCUCAGUCUGGGCCCUCCGGUGACCCAGGCCAGGCCUGCUCCCUGGAGCCCAAGGCACAUCUGUGUUGUGCUAGGUCUGCUAGCAAAGAACCUGGGUGGCUCCUAUGCAACCAACAAUUCCGAUCCACAAUCCUUCCCUGCGCUGGUCUGAGUUAAGGCUAGAAACAGUUGAAUUCAGCAGCAUCACCCCUGUCCUCCCACACAGGGAACUCCCAACCCCAGGCCCUGGGAGAAGGAACAGACACACGCAAAUGUGUGAAUGCAGCUCCAACACUCACUGGAAGGAGAGAUGACACUGUCUGGGGAGUCUGGGAAGGCUGGUCAGAGGAGGUGAUGCCUCAUUAGGGUUUGGAGAGGGAGGUUCCAGCAGGGUCGGCCUCCCACACAUGAAGGGCCUUUGAUGUAGACACUGGACGUCCUUCCCCAGGGAAGUAGCUCAUUCAGUCAUGGGACAUUUCAAGGUGGGAAGAAGGUGUUCAUCACACGGCUGUGAUCACGUGCCCAUAUGCAGACCACUCUGUCCUGGGUGCAUGAGGAGUUCAUCUCUUAAAUCCAUGGUUCUCAACAAGGACAGUCCUCCCUCCCCAUGGGACAUUUGGCAAUGACUGGAGGAGUUGCUACUGGCAUCUCCUGGAUGGAGGCCAGGCAGGGCUGUUGGUAAACAUCCCAGUCUAGUGCACAGGACAGCCUCCACCACAAAGAAUCAUCCAGCCCCAAAUGUCAGCAGCACCAAGGUUGAGAACUCUGUCCUAAACCCUGAAAUUUUCAUUUGAUAAGUGCAAUUAUAAUGCAAUGUCUUUUUGAUGCACCAAAGGCAUUAAUGUCUUCAAUGUGAAUAUUUAAAACACACAGGUGACCUGUUUGGUGAUUUAUUUCUUAAUAAAGCAGGAGUCUUAAAACAUGGGAGUGGUUCCAUGAAAGGCAACAGCAUGCACUGGGCUCAGUGGCUCAGUGGCAAGACAGCAAGCAUCUGUAUUCGACUGCACCUGGAACGAAGGGGAUGAUGGGAAUAGAGCCCAGAGAGGGGCAGGGGCUGCACCAGGCAGAACUCAGAUGCCAGGCGACAGAGCGUGAAUUGUAUCCUGGAGGGAGAGACCUUGAGAAAAUUUAAAGCAAGGGGAGGAUGGGAUCCAUAGCAUGUCCUAGAAAGAGCUCUCAAUGAGAUUCAAUUUUAUACCCACGAAAUUGGUAAAAAUGUCAGUUUGACAUUGCCAAGUGUUGACAAGGAAAUGGAGCAACUAGAAUUCUUAUACCCUGCUGGUGGGAACAUGUAUUGGAACAACCAAUUUGGAAAAUCCUUUGGCCUUCUUUUUUUUUCAUUUUUCAAACAGGGUCUCAUUCUGUCACUCAGCCUGGAGUGCAGUGACACAAUCACAACCCACUACAGCCUUGACCUCCCAGGCACAGUGAUUCUCCCACCUCUGCCUCCUGGGACUACUGAUGUGCACCACCAUGCCUGGAUAAUUUUUUGUAUUUCUUUUUUGUAGAGAUGGGGUUUCACUGUUACCUAGGUUGGUCCUGAACUCCUGUCCUCAAGUGAUCCUCACACCUUGACCUCCCAAAGUGCUAGGAUUACAGGCGUGAGCCACUAUACCUGGUCCUUUGGCAUCUUAUAGACGUGAAUGUAAGGUCUCUUGUCUCAGUAAUUGCACUUAUAAAGCAAUUAUGCCCCCAGGGAAACCCUCACACAUGGGCAUAUGGACAAGAACACUCCUUGCUGCACUGUUUAUGGUAGUGGUAGAAGGGAGUGACUAAAACGUCCAUCUUAAAGAGAAUGAGCAAAUACACUGUGUUACAGUUUUGAGGGGACUAUGACACUACAGUGAGAAGGAGCAGACUCCAUGUGUGAGCAGGGAGGUGCAGCCCCAGCACAGCAGUGAGCAACACAAGCCAGUCAUUGAAAGCAUCGCUGUGACACCACUUAUAGAAAACAUGCAGGAUAAUGCAUUCAAGAUUUAUACAUAUAGAGUAAAAGCAUAACAACAUGCAUGGGAAAAUGAAGCCCUGGCUACCUCUGGAGUUGGGGAAGGGGGACAAGAGGGUCAUGAGGGUUCCAUGAUCUCUGUGGUGUUUCCUCCCUAAGCUGGGCUGGGGAGGGUAUCAGGGGGACUUGACUCUGCCCCUACUUUUCUAACUCCUGGAGUUUGUGCCCUGGAGAGUGAGCAGGAACAUGACCUGUGUACCACCAAUAGCAUAUGCAAGGUGGGGGGAUGUUAUCCGGGCUGUGCUUCACCAGCUCUCUUGACGCCUCUGUCAGCUGCGGUCUGUGCAGGAGUCAGCUGCCGAGAUUCCUGCAGCUGCAGGGAGGUGAGCUCUGCCCGUAACCUGGAGGGGCUGUGAUGCAGAUCCUUUCCUAGUCAAGCCUCUAGGAAGACUGGCCUUCUCUGAUGAGAAGCCAGCCCUGGUCAGUAGGUGGAUUGCAACCUGGUGAGGUCCUGGGGAGAAGCUAGGGCCAAGCAACAUCUGGGCUCAUGGCCCAUGGAAACUGUGAGAUACUAAACACGUGUGGUUUCAAGGGGAGAGGUGUGUAGUGGUUUGUGAUGCAGCAUAGAAAAUCAGUAUCAAGGCUACCGUGGUGUUGUUUAUAUUGUUAGCUAUACUUUUGGAUAUCUGAAAUAUUUCAUAAUUAAGAGGUUAAGAAAGGCCCCUGUAGGAAGAAGAGACAGUCUGGAGGCUGGGAGGCCCAGGAGGAGCUGGCACAAUGGAGAGGGGACAGGCUGGGCAGUGCAAGGUGAGGAAGCAGGAUAGGGCUGGUGUCAGGACCAGUGGGGUGUGUGUGUGUGUGUGUGUAGCAAGCCCCCUUCAUGCCUGAUUCUGAGGAAAGGGAGGGGCCCAUGCCAGCAUCCCCUCAAAGCCUAGGAGACCUGGAUCCCAGCCUCACAGCAUUAGAACAUCAGAACAGCCGGACCUAGCAGGGCAGGGGCCAGAGAGAAGGAGCAAAGGCAGCAUUUUCCCAGGGUCCCCUGGGGAGCCUGGCAGUGUGGGCUGGGGGUGGGGCAGGGAAGGACAGAUGGGGCUGUGGGAGGGAGCAGCUGCCUCUCCCCUCUCCAGGGAUGCCCAUUCCCCAACUUCAGCCCGCAUACCAGUGGGAGAGAUGGUGAGACCCUCCCCCCUCCUUGCUCCCACUGAUCUUCAGUUUCCCUAGUGAUACUGGAGGGAUGAUCUCUGAGGACCCCCCUGAGUUGGGUGGGAUAGAGAAAGACAUGAGAACACCUACAGAUAGCCUAGGUCACCCCACUGGCACUCCCCCUGGUCCUGGCAGCCUUGGUUCUGUGGGAGAAGGAGGAACAGAAAGAGCAGGCAGUUUGCCCAGGGUCCCCAAACACCCUCAUCUUCUAGCAGUGGAGGUGGGCUUGAGGGCUCAGUCAGAGCCCCCAUUAGGCUACCCAGGAUGAGCCUAGAGUGGGGAAUAAAAUGGCAUUAGAAGGGUGUCCUUGCUGGGUGGUUUCUUCAAGACCUUCUGUCUUCCUCAUAUUAUCCUUCCAAUGACCCUGAAAGAUGUGGUCUUGUUUGACUGAUGAGGAGCCAGGGAUCAGAGAGGCCAAGCCACUUGCUCGAGCCUGCACAGCAAGGGGGAGUCAGGUCUGUGUUUUGUAAGGGGCUUUACCCUGAGUGGCCUUAGUUAGGGACCAGGAAGGCCUGAAGGGCCCCAAGGAAAGAACUCAGAUAAAGCUUCCCUAGGAUCCUUGAUCAGGGUUUUGAAGAGUGAAGAGAAAUUCCCCAGGCUGAUCUAAAUGAGAGAACAUCCCAGGGAGAGAAACCAGCUAGGAACAAGACAGAGAAGACAGGUUUUUGUGAAUGACUAAGUUUUAAAUUACGCAUGUGGCAUAUACUCAGAACAUAUCAAAACAACAGCCCACAGUUAUAAAGGGAAAAGAGCCCCUUCCGCGCCCCGGGUCUGCAUCACACCUCAGAACUAACAACUACCAUCAUCCAGGUACACGUCUUCUCAGGCGUUUUUCUAUCUCUAGACAAAUAUUGUAAAAACAAAAACAAGAGUUCACUUUACAUAUUGUUUUCCAACUUGCUUAUUUUCAUGUAUCCUAGUGUUUCUGUGAGAUGUACAGGAGGAAGCUUGCCGGGCAGGAGAGCAUGCAAAACCUAGAUUAUUUCUGCCCGUGCAAGGCAUCUCCAGGCUGCUUCUCCACACCUGCCCGGUCUUUUCUGUGUCUGCUAAGAUGAGAGGGGGAAAGUGGUGCCCCAUGUGGAAUGGGCAUGGAUCUGAUCAUUUGUGAGACGGAACACCCAUCGAGAUGUCUAGUGGCUGUGGAUUCCCAGUGCUGUUGGGGAUGUCCUCUUGUGUAUCCUUCCUGUCUCCUUCCACCGCUUGUUACGUGAAUCUCCUAAUUUGAAAUCAUUUGCUACUCAUUCACAUUUUGUAAAACCUCAUGCUGCCCAAACACAUUUUCCUGCUGUCUAGACAAAACAGUCAGCAUUCACCAAGUGAGAUGCUAACCAACUAGUCGUUCCGACGCCACUGGAUUGGGUAACCCUCCACCUUUGCAUUGAUUCAGAAUGUCUCCUUUAUCACCCAUUAUCUUGUAAAUAAUAGGGUCUGUUGCGGGGUUUACUGAGUCUGUAACAUUGAUCUGUUUAUUCUUACAGCGGGACCACAAGGUUUGAACGAUUGUGAUAAUAGAAUCUUGUUUAAUAUCGGAAAGCAUUUCCCUCUUACACACACACACAUUUUCUCUCUCACACACCUCACUUAUUUUUCCUAAGUUUUGACUUAUUCUGAUCUUGUUAGUUUUUCGAGAUAAAGUUUGAAAUCAUUUGUCAUUUUGCCUUUAAAAAAAAAAUCCCAGCAGAGUUUUAAUCGAACUGUCCCGUAUGAGAACUCAUUUAGGCUCUACCCACCUCCUCCACCUGCUGUCCCUCGUCUUUCCCGCUCCUCAGGUGACUCUGUACCUGUGUCAGGCAGAUGGCAGGCAUCACCCAGGGGUGGCGUCCAUUUCUGUGGCCCUGAGGACCCUUCCCCAUCCUAGCACUGGGUCACCAGAGGGGUAGGAGAUGCUAUGGGAAAGAACAGCACUGCUCCCUAAGAAUUACAAAGGGCACUUUAUUUCUUCCUACAAAUGGACAUCAAAGCCAGGCCUGGAAGUGUCUGUCCCUGUGCGAGGCAGGGAGGAAGGGGCCGGGCAAGCCGAGCUGAGUCCAGGACUGGCCAGCCCCACUGGGUACAAACGGAGGGAAGAAGGCCGAUCCACUCGGUCACCCUGGCACCAGGCCCUCGGGAAUCAUCGAGGGCACCCUGACCUGCUCAAGAUGGCCUUUUGCAGCUCCCGGCUUGCAUGCCUGGCCCUGCUUGGGCACUUUGUGGACACAAAAUUCAAACUGUUUACCAUACAGAGUGACUCGGGGAGGCAGGAAUCACUGUUAGAAGUGAAUUGUUUAAUGAAGGAGGGAAGAGAAGCUGUAAACUGCAGCCCCUGAGCCUCGGUUCUUUGCUCUGAAUUGACUUGCUGGGACUUGAAUCUGAGGCUCUCAGCCCGAUCUCUGCUCAACACCAUCCUCCAAGCUUCCCCACCUCUGGAUGCUGCCUCCUUGUGAGAAACAGCCCCUGCAAUUCAGGUGCAGUGGUUCACACCUGUAAUCCCAGCACUUUAGGAGACCGAGGCAGGCGGUUCCCUUGAGCUCAGGAGUUUGAGACCAGCUGGGGUAACAUAGCAAGAUCCUGUCUCUACAAAAAAAAAAAAAAAAAUUAGCUGGGCAUGGUGGUGCACACCUAUAGUCUUAGCUAUGUGGGAGAAUGGCUUGAGCCCAGAAGUUAGAGGCUGCAGUGAGCUAUGAUUGUACCUCUGCACUCCAGCCUGGGCGACAGAGUGAGACCCUGUCUCCAAAAAGGAAGGAAGAAAGAAAAAAGAAACAGCUCCUGCUUUCCAAGAGUUUCCUGGCAGUGAGUAGAGGGAGUUUGCCACAGGAACAAGAGUCUCUGUGUGUGUUAUUCCCCACCUAACACCAAGAACGAAUGAGGCUGAUGAACAUGUGCGGGAAAGUGAAUGCAUCUAGUCUACAGGUGACUGGGGUGCACCUAACACCAGCCACUGGGGACAUAGGGGACACAAGAAUGACCAGGCACAGCCCCUGCUCUCUUACAGCAGGUGUCACAAGGCGAAGGGAUGCUUUCAUCCACUUAUCCACUUGUUUCUGCUGGCUGCCCACCUCCCAGCACUCAUGAGAGAACCUGCCACUGUGUGCUGUAAAAAUGCUGGUUGACAGGAGGAAGGAAAUAAGCCAGGAGAGGAAAAGAGAAACGGAGGCCUCUUUUGAUGGCUAGUCUGGGUUAGGGGUCUGGAUUCUGGCCUUUGAGUCCCGAGGCAAGUUCUAGGUUCGGAUUUGGGAGUUCUAGGUUCUGGGACCUAGAUUCUAGACCCAAGACUCCAUGUCCUUAAUGGAGUUAUGGGUUCUGAGCUCCAAGCUCUAGGUUGUAGAUUUGGAGUUCCACCCCCAGGGCCCCAGGUUCUGGCUUUGUGUUCUGAGAACUGGAUUCUGAGGUCUGGGAUGUGGGCUCCCGUCUUAAAGGUCUUGGUAUGUUCUGAGUUCUGAGCCCCAGGCUGCAGGUUCUGGGUUGAAGGGUCCAGGCUCUCAGCUCUGUGUUUCAGGCUCUGGUUCUUGAGUUCUGGGGCGUAGGGCUAUGGCUCCUGGUUUGGGGAUCUAGGCUACAGGUUCUCGAUUCUAAGCUCUGGGGUCCAGGGCUGGCUCUGGGUUCUGGAUUUUGGGCCAGGCAAGUAGGAUGGUUCUCCAGAGGCCAAGUAGAGUUAUUAUUCAUGCUUCGUGCCUGGAAUGUAAGCCCCUUAAGGAGAUUCUUAUUUGUUUUAUCCCCUGCUGUACUCCAUGUCUACAACAGUGCAUGGCAUACAGGAGAUGUUCAACAGUACAUCCAUGCACAUGUGAACACCUGAUUACAGAAACACACAAUCCUGCCAUCAGGAUCCAGGGGCAUAGGAAAGAGGACCAUAUCUGCCCUCACUGUGGCUACAGCUGGCAGGAGGAGAGGAAGCCUCCUGCUCUGGAGCUACGGAGGGUGGAGGCCAGGGGGCUCAGGGCCAUUAUGCAUCAGGUAGGAGACACGUGUCUACCCUGCCAAGCCCUAGGCUGGCUCCUAUUUGUACUCAGUGUCAAAUCCACUGGGAAGGACAGGAGGGAGUACUGGUGGCAUACCAGGACAAGAGUGUCCAGAGGUCAAAGUCUAUCCUGAUGGGCUGGGGCAGCUGGGAAAAGAUGCUGACCUUCCCGGGACUUUGGCCUGCCCAGCUCUAAGUGAGGGACCUCCCAGUGUCAGCAGCAUGGUAUUGGGAAGAAUUAAAGGAAAAUCUCCUGGACCAAGUGGACAUCAGAGCCAUCAACAAACAAAGAUGGUAGCAAUCAGAAAUACCUGUCCUCAGGGCCCCUGGUGAAUAAAGACCCUGAUGGUCAAACAUAAUGACAACCAAGGUUAAGAGAAGCCAUGACUGACCAGAGAUGUACAAUCAGAGUGACUCCUCAUUAGGGACGGUGGAGUCGGCCAAGAGAUGAUGUCCAUCAAGCACAACCUAGUCAGGGAGGGGCAUGUCACAUGCUGGCCAUCAGGAGCCAGUGCUCAGAGGUCUUGGCAACCAGAAUCAUUGUUGAUCAAAUAUAUCAUCAAUCAUUGAUCAGGGGCAUGGGUGGCUUGAGCUGUGGGUGACCGGGAGCAUUAGUGGGGAAAGCAUAAGAUGUCCAUGUCCUUGAUGGCCAAAGGUACACGAGAUAUUAGUGACCAGAAUCAAUGACUGGAGACAUGGCGUCCAGAGAUCUUGAUGAAGAGAACCAGAUGCAGACCAUUAGGGAUCAAGGGCACUGGUAAGCAGAGGCAUCAAUGAUUAGAGAAUUCAGUGAUUAGAGACAUUGGUGACUGGGGAUGCUGAUGACCAAGGAUAUUAGUGACCAGGGAGGUCAGUGAUCAGAGGUAUAAGGGACUUUGAAAAAUGGGGACAUUGGUUAGCAGAGACUUUGAAGAAGAUUCAGCAAUCACUGAUGUUGGGCAUCAGAGACAUUGGUGAUAAGAGAUCUUGAUGAUCAGAGUUGAGCAAUCAGGGAUAUUGGGAACCAGAAACACCAGUGACUGCAUUGAUAGGAAAUUUGAUGGGGAGAGGAUCCUAUGAUCAGGGACACUGGUCAUCAGACAAAUGACUGGGGAGAGAGAAUGGUGAUCAGAAACAACUGAUCAAGGAUAUUGUUAAAGAAACACUGGUGAUAAGAAACAGUGUGAUCGGAGAUGUUGGAGAUCACAUGUGAAUGAUCAAUCUAUCUCGAGAAAAAACACUGAUCAAUCACACUGGUGGUCAUACUUAGAACAUUAGUGACAAAGCUCAUUGGUGAUCAACAUAUUGGUGAAAAGAGAUACUAUGAUCAGGCAUACUGGUGAGCAAAGACAGUCACUGGAGACAUUGGUGACCACAUUUUGUGGGUAUCAGUGAUCAGACACAUGGUUAAGAAGAGGCAUUAAUGAAAUAUUGGUGAUCAGUUGUUAGUCAUCAGGUAUCUCUGAUGGCAGGCUAUCAUGACCAGACAUGUCAUUAAUCUGGAAGGAAUAUCAGUAAUGGUGCCUAUCACUGAUGACCAACAACACUGAUCAAAGAUGACAGCAAUCAAUGACAUCAGUAAUCACAGGUUAGUCAAGUUUGUCAAUGAACAGGAAUAUUGAUGACCAAAUAUCUCAGAAACUAGAGCUGAGAGGAAGCUCAGCACCUGGGAGGAAGCAAAUGGAGAUGGCUUUUGCAGGAGCCUUGCUGAGCCCUCAGGGGUGAACCACAGGCUGGAGAAACCACAGCCUCCCUGCGCUUCCCUAGUAUCCUCCCAUCCACUAGGACAAAUCAGACCCAGACCAAAUCAGUGACUAAAUCAGACCCAGGCCCAACAGGGCCAGACCCCAGAUUCCAGGGGCCUUCCCCUUGCAGCCACCACAGCAAUAAAAGCAAUGCAAUCUGGCUGCCCAAAUUCGCACCCGGGACUCAGCCUCCCGGGAGCCCACAAGACAGGCCAGAGGCAUUCACAAAAAGUAUUUUAUUAUUCUUAACAGUACUCACUUUUAAGGAAUAAGAGGAUAGCAUACAUUUUUUACAGACAAUAUAUAAAUGUUGUACAUAAUUAACAAUAACUUAGUUCACUAAUCCAAAAUAAAACAAGCCAAAUAAAACAUAAAAACAGAAAAUACUGCUGAUUCUUUUUCUUAUGCGGACACUAGUACAAAAUAAGUUACUUCCGGCCAUGGUGCUCCCCGCAGCGACUGCCCGCCCAUAUUGCACUUGGUCACUACAUCAGCACAAUCCUCCUCCUGGGCCAGGGGCCCCUCAACAGCCACCAUACCCCACCAUCACCGCAUACAGAAUCUAAGCUUGGGACACAUUUAUAUACAGCUGUACCUUGGGAAGGAUCCAGACAGCCACAGCCAAGCUGGACCCAGGACCCCAGCAGGGACACAGCUUCUCCCUGGGUCCUGGUCCUGACCUGCCCCCAACUCCUGCCUUCACCCCCUGCUAGGCCAGCAAAUGCCAACCAGCUCCCAGAAACCAAGGGCAGCAAAGGCUCCUCCCCACCCCCAGCUUUCAUACUAGGGCUGUGGGAUCUCAGCACUUUCCCAAAAACAAUUGCGAAGUGCCAGCCUUGUGUGUGGUUUUUAUUCCUUUUAGAGCAGGGCUUCUGUGGCUACGUACAAUCAUCUGGACCCAACAAGAGUUUAAAAAUAAAACAAUUAACUCAUCAGUGAGUUAAGCUUAUGUAUUUUUUUUUAAUAUUUUUUCUUUUGUCUCAGAGUAGGAGGGGAGAGGGUUGAAGGGUUAGCAGAAAAAGGUUGUAUUUACAGGGUCCACCUGACAAACAAGACAGACUGUGGCUUGCGCUCAGUAAGGGGACACAGUCACACCAGCUUCAGCCUCAAAGCCAAGGGAGCGAUCUGGGAGACGUUUCCCCUUUCAAGAAAAUGUUGUUUCCUUCCUGUGACCCAGCCCUGGCCUGGGAAUCUGUGCAGGACCGCCCGUGAUUGUCUCUGCCCUCCAGGGCCGGGCCCAUCGAAGGAGGCACCAGCUCACCCUCCCCAGGCCGUGGCCCCUCUGGCUUUGGCUCAGCCCAGCCUGGAAUUUGGCUGUUUCAGAGAGGGAAGCCAGAGGAGAAGGGGGUGUGGGCUGAGGUCUCUGCAGAUCUGUCCCCCAGAGCCCUGGCAAGUGGACCCGCCAAGUCCCGAGGAAGAACCAGAGGACUUGGGACAGCUCAGACCACCAAGUCUCCAAGUCCUUGUUAGAAACAAGAGCAAAAUAAA